rnacentral:tRNA from 1 species
GCACGAUCCCGGGAGGGUGCCCUGGGCUCUCACGCAGACCGAGGCGAUGGGGCUCGGCGACGAGCUGGUCGCGUCGGCGGCCGUGCGC